GUCCACGCCGUAAACGAUGGGCACUAGGUGUCGGAGGUGUCGACUCCUCCGGUGCCGAAGCUAACGCAUUAAGUGCCCCGCCUGGGGAGUACGGCCGCAAGGCUAAAACUCAAAGGAAUUGACGGGGACCCGCACAAGCAGCGGAGCAUGUGGUUCAAUUCGACGCAACGCGAAGAACCUUACCUGGGCUUGACAUGUAGGUGACAGCCGUGGAAACACGGUCUCCCUUCGGGGCACCUUCACAGGUGGUGCAUGGCUGUCGU
rnacentral:rRNA from 1 species